CCCCAAUUGAUGGUACUGGCGACCGUCCGACCUGAUUGGUAGCACGUGUCCUCACCAUCUGUGAGAGAAUAAAAUAAUAGAAGUUUAGUACCAAAAUCACCAGAUUCGCACGACAAGAAUUCAACAAUGUGAAGUUUUUCCUAAAGGUUCUAUAGCUUCUCGAAGAUAAGUACAGAUAUCUCUGUACCGAUCCGCAAGAGUCUACUAAACUUGCUCAAGACUCGCGAGACCUAUGUAACCUAGGCUCUCAUACCAACAUGUCACGACCCCAAAAUCAACCCAGUCGUGAUGGCGCCUAUCAUAAAACUAGGUCAGCCGACACAUUCCCAAAAUAGUUCAACAUUUCAUGAAAACUUAAAUAACAACCUUUUUAAAUGGAAAUUUCCAUAAAAGAUAUAAAGUCAAAAAAACCAAAAUACGGAAAUAAAAGCCCGACCUCGGGUAUCACUAAGUCAUGAGCAAUACUACAAUUGUUUCGAAACAUAACAAGACCAAAAUAGUCUGAAAGUAGCCAAAAUAUACUAGAAGGAAGAUAAAGAAGGAGAAAGGCGGGACUACGAACGCCAGGCAGCUACCUCGCUAUCUUUGGUGAACUCCGCGUCUGGAAUAGUCAAUAGCCGCUACCAUGACCUAAGAUACCUGGAUCUGCACACAAGGUGCAGGGGGGUAACAUGAGUACAACAACUCAGUAAGUAACAAGCCCAAACUAUGGACUUAUAGGUAGUGACGAACCAAACCUUAGCAGUUAUAACACAAUUAAAUGGUGCAGUAAUCUGGCAAUUUAAGUGUUCAACUCAACAGUAAAGUAAAUGACAAUUCAAACAAUGUGAAGCAUAAAGCUCAGCAAAUCUCUACAUAUCAAUGCCAAAGAUGCAUGAAAAUAUACUGUGUACCUCCACUCUCAAGUGCUCAACCACUUGAUAUUGUACAUGGCCAUCCGGCCAGGGAAGAUCCGUCCCGAAACAUAUAUACACAUCACUGACAGCAGUUUCUCAGUACUGAGGAAGUCCAUUCCAGCCUUAUGGAGAAUAUCCAUGUCCAGGUAUAAUUACUUCGGACAAGAUCUAUGUCCAGGGAAGAUCCAUCCCUCAAAAUAUCAAUUGCACUUACUAGGGGUGUGUUACAGACUCCGGAUGGGCUCCUACAACCCAAACACUAUUAUAAUCAUCAACAUAUCCGCUGCAGUGUGCAGCCCGAACCCAUAACUGCCACUCAUAAUCAGGCUCUCGGUCUCACUUAGUCAUCAUUCUCCAGUCUUACACACACGGGCUCACAAUGCCAUAAUACUAGCCCGAAACAAUAAUAUGAUGUGCCAAAUAAUAACAACCGAGACUAAGAGAUGAUAUGAUAUGCAUGAACAAGACUAAGUGCAGAAUAUCAAUGAAACUAAUGAGAUGACAGCAAGAAAUGACCACUCGGUUCUCAACAGUAUUGGCGUGGAGCCCUAACAUGAUAAUUAGCAUGAUUUAUAGUUCAUUUACUUAAUCACAUAAUCUCAACACAUAUACCAACAAGAAAGAGUCACUAAGCGGUGCCAUUGAAUGAACCAGUUCAUAAUUCUCACGGUGCACGCCCACACUCCCGUCACUUAGCAUUUGCGUGACCUCAAUACAAAUCAUAUAGUACAUCGUUCGGGGUUUCGAACCCUCAAAACCAAGUUUGGAAGCGUUACUUACUUCAAACCAAGUCAAAUCCUGCUCCGCUACGCCUUUUCCUCUGGACUCGGCCUCCAAAUGUCCCGAAUCUAACCAAAAGCAAUGCAAUGCAAUCAAUAUAGUCCAAGAAAUCAAUUCCAAAGGAAAACUAUCAAUUCAACCCAAAAUUCACACAAACCCGGCCCCAGAACCACGUCUCGGAAUCCAACAAAAUUUACAAAACUAGAAACUCCUUUCACUCUCGAGUCUAUACAUACCAAAUUCAUCAAAAUCCGACCUCAAAUGGUCCCUCAAAUUCUCAAUCAUAACUCUCCAAAACUCAAGCCCUAACCCCUUCAACGUCUCCCCAAAUUCCCACUAAUUUCAUGAUUACACAGGGGCAAAUCAUCACAAACAAAAAUAAUAAAGCCCAAGUAACUUACCCAGCUGAUAACCUUCGAUCAUUUUUGAAAAUCACUGCCCAAAGCCCCAAUCUCGUCCAAAAAUGGUGAAUAAUGGACAAAAAUUUGCGAAGUGUGGCUUUUAUAAUUUCUGCCCAGAAGACUCGCACCUGCGGUCCAAAUGAGCGCACCAGCGCUACCGCAUCUGCGGAUUCCACUUAUCCGUUAAUUUUCGCACCCACGGCUAUACACUCGCACCUGCGGCCUCACUGGUGCGAUAAAACCUCAACACCUGCGAUCAAACUUCUACUGGCCAAAACCACAUCCACAACUUCCCUCUCGCAUCUGCGACCUCGCACCUACGGUCCCCUAUCCGCAGGUGCAGAAAUGACAGAAGCAGCAGCAGCAGCUGCUCAAACUAAUUUCCAACUCUUCCGUUAAUCAUCCGAAUUCAUCCCGAGGCCCUCGGGACCUCAACCAAAAAACACCCUCAAGUCGCAUAUCACCAUUCAAACUUAUUCAAACCUUCGGAACACUAAAAACAACAUCAAAACACCAAAUCACCCUCGGAUUCGAGCCUAAGAACUUCCAAACUUUCGUAUUCUGCAACUGAUGCCGAAACAUACCAAACCACCUCUGAAUGACCUAAAAUUUUGCACAUACGUCACAAAUGACACUACGAGCCUACUCCAAUUUUUAUAGAAUUCCAUUCUAACCCCGAUUUCAUGAUUUCCAUUGCCGACCGAAAAUUGCCAAAUUUUCAAUUUCGCCAAUUCAAACCUAAUUCUACCACGGACCUUCAAAUUAUAUUCCGAAUACGCUCCUAAGUACAAAAUCACCUAACGGAGCUAACCGAACCAUUAGAAUUUACAUCCGAGAUCUUCUACACAAUAGUCAAUAUCCAGUUGACUUUUCCAACUUAAACUUCUAAAUAAGAGACUAAGUGUCUCAUUCCUCUCCAAGACCACUCCGAACUCGAACCAACCAACCCGAUACCACACAAUACAGCUAAAUAGCACAUAAAGAAGAAAAAAUGGGGGGAAACAUGGCUAUAAUUCACUAAACGAUCGGCCGAGUCGUUACAGGACGUUCAACCCGGUCCUACAUAAAAGUAAACUGCGCACUACCGAGAGUCGAAUGGCCUGAACCAUAGAUACAUCUAUUAAACUGCCGAUAGUUGAACGACCCAAACCAUAAAUACAUCUAAUAACCUACCGAGGCGAACGGCCUGCUCCCAUGAGAGUAGUGGAAAUAAUCACCCUGUUCGCGGAUUAUACUUGCGACGCGGUUAAAUAUAAAUAUAAUGAAAUGUUCCCUCAAUUAUUUCAAAAUAAUGAUUUACUUGAAACCUUUGAAAUCAUGAAAUCUUCAACUUAAUUCCGUUCAAUGCAAAUCGAUAAAUAUAUUCAUAUACCCACAAAGCAUGGUAUAAGCCUAGAACUAUCCGAACAUAACAAGAAUAGUAGCUACGUAUAGACUCUCGUCACUUCGUGCGUACGUAGCCCCCACAAUGAAUCAUAUAUUAAUUAAGUUCACCUAUGGGGAAAUUUCCCUCUUACAAGGUUAGAAAAGAGACUUACCUCAUUUCGAGCAUACUCCCAAAUCAAGAAUGCGCUCAAACCGGAGCCGAACAAUCUGAAACUAUUCAAGUAGUGUAAAAACUAAUCUUUAUAGGUUCACAAGUUCAUAUUCUAGCUAUUAAAGUGAUUACAUAACCCCAAAGGCAAAAUUCCUAAAAUUCACCCUCGGGCCCACAUGCCUGGAUUCCGAAAAUUUUCGAAGGAAGUUGUUACUCAUAACCUAAGGAACAUAAAUAUAUGAUUAUCACUAAGUUUCAUGGUCAAUUUCGUGGUAAAACUCUCCUUCUUGCCAAACCCUAGGUUUUCAUUUAAUCCCAUGAUUUUCACUAAUCUUUACAUGUUAAUCUACCCAAAUCAAAGUAUUUAACUCACAUACAGUAGGAAUUACUUACCUCCAAAAGCUUGGUGAAAAACUCCUCUCAAGAAGCUCAAAAAUCGCCCAACAACGGAGUGGAAUGAGCCAAAAACGUAUAAGGCCCGUAUUAAAUGAAGGCCACUGCCUUCAGUGAUUUCCGCAUCUUCAGUCAUUGGCCGCACCUGUGCCCUCUUAUCUACGAACUAUAGUCUGCUUCUGCGAAAUUCACUGGGCCGGCCGGGCCCGCUUCUGCGGAAGGCCCACUACUUCUGCAGUUCCGCUUUUACAGAGGAGGGGCCGCAUCUGCGGUUCUGGGAUGCCCACCCUUGGCUGCAUCUGCGAGUCAAGGCCCGCACCUGCGAGCUCGCAUCUGCGGCUGACUAACCACAGGUGUGGUUAUGACAGAAGCUGGGGCUUCAGCUCUUGCUCAAAUUUUUCAACUCAGUCUGAGCCUCGUUCGAUUGAAGCUAGGGCUCCCGGGGCCCCCCUCGAACAUACCUACAAGUUUGGAAUGAAAAAACAGAGUCGUUCGAACCCUCAAAACACCUGAAACAACAUUUAAACUAGGAAUCACACCCUAAAACCAAUUGAUUCAAAUUUAUGAAUUUCAAGUUCUUCAAUUUACUUCCAAUGCGCCAAAAUGUACUUAUACUACUCGGAAUGAUACCAAAUUUUGCGUUCAAGUAUUAAAUGGCAUUAUGGAACUAUUCCCAAUCUCUGAAUCCCGUUCGAACCUUGAUAUCAUUAAAACCCGCUGUAAACCAAAUUUAAAGAACUUCUAAAAACCUUCAAGAACCAACUUUCACUAUUAUGCACCAAAAUGCUCCCGGAUCAUCCAAAACCCAAUCCGAACAUAUGUCCAAGUCCGAAAUCAUCAUACGAACCUAUUAGAACCAUCAAAUCCUGAUUCUGAGGUUGUUUACUCAAAAUGUUGACCAAAGUUAAACUUGGUCUUUUAGGCCAACCUUAAGGAAUCAAGUGUUCCGAUUUCAACCCAAACUCUUCCAAAUCCCAAACCAACCAUCCCCGUAAGUCAUAAAUCAAUAAAAGAAAGUAUGAAAAAUCUUAUUUAGGGAAACAUGGUUCUAAAAAAUCAAAACAACCAGUCGGGUCGUUACAGAUAUAAGAUUCAGUUUAGUAAUUUAUGUUUUUUGACAAGUCAUUAAAAAAUCAUAAUAAAAAUAUAGCUAAUAACUAUUUUUGUGUCUUCUUGAAUGCACUUGAGAAUAGUUUUUGAUUUUUUUUUUAGAAAGCUCGCAAGGGUUGACUGAGUUGGUUGGAUGAGUAGUUUCCCACAUGGGAGACCGAUGAUUAAUUCCCCUCAUCAACAACCUGCUCAAUUAGAUCUCAUCGUAACGAGCUUGUCUAUUGCAUUUUGCAUCUUCUAUGUGGUUUGCGAGCUACCGCAAAUAAGCAAGUUACUCAGUGCGCACCCGAAUGGUAGCAACAAGGGUUUCCCUGGGAGUUUUUCAAAAAAAAAAACGUAUUUUAAAAAAAUUCUUAAAUCUUCAAGGGUUAUGUAUUUUUACUAAAACUUAAAAGAAGGCGUGAUAACUUGUGAAGUUGAACUGAUAAAAUUAUAAUGAUAAAGUUUGAACAAAAUUUAAAGUGAAUAUAUUGAAAAAUAAUUUAGGAUUUUUAUGAACAAAGUUCUGCUUUAUUGGGUUAGUUACAUAGGAUCAUUAUUGAUAAUUUCAGAAGCCUACAUUUUGUUUUUAUAAUUCAACACACUUUUUUAAAAAAAAUAUGUAAUUUUCUUAUAAAACUUUACUCAUUAAAAUGUGGAACAUACGUAAUGUGCAUACACUAAUACUAGUAUAUAACCCUUUAAAAAUAGAUUUUACAUCAGAUAAAAUUGUCAUUUCAUUAUAUUCCUAAUAUUUAGGAAUUUAUAUCUUUCUUUCCCAUUUUGAACAAUUUAUACCAAGUUACAAUUUACGAAAAAAUUUCUUUCAGUGCUUCUACACAAAGUCAUACGUUUUAUUUUGUGAGGUAAUAACCAAUUUUUUAAUCAAAGUGUAGUUUUUGUGAUCAAAUAAAAUAAUAGAAUAAUUCGAGUUUCUAAUAACCAAUUUUACUUCACUUUUCUAAUAUAUAUGAAUAAGAAAUACUAAAUAUAAAAUAUUGAGAUAAUAAGAAAAAAAUCUUAUUGAUAUUCAUAGCUUCCUUCCAAGAGGAGAGAACUAGAUUCUUCAAUUAAUAGAGAAUAAAAGAUAAAUGUCUGAUAGUAUAAUUUCGUGAAUUUCUUCAUGAUCGUAGAAAAUAUGGUAAGGAAGGUUUAUAUAAGGGUGCAUUAUGUAACUGCUUUGCCUACUUAAUUCUCGCUCGUUACUAAAAUUUAUUAUAUGGAUUUCCCGUUAUUGGCUAAUUUAUAAUGGCUAUGGCAAUAAUAGUCAACUGCGCAUAAUCAGGGAUUAUGUCGUUUUCUUUCUAUAUUCGUGGAUAUUAAUGAACAUUCCUUCCUUAUAGUCUUUAAUUAUCCAUCUCGCGCGUGUCUCGUUUUUCUCAGUUGUCAUGUGCGGUAUCCUUGUAAGAAAUCCCGUGGGUGUUUUACUCAUUCUUCUCCCAACCUUCACUUUUCUUUAUUUCUAUGACUCUCAUGACACUUGUCAGCACAUCAUUAGUCCAUGUGGUGAAUCUAUUUUUUCUUCAAUACAGAUAGUUUCUCCACUUUCUGAAUAUUCUCAACUAAUUAUUCAGGAAGUGAAAAGUUUAUUGAUGGUGGGAAUGUCAUGCUACCUCAUCCCCAUAUCAAUAUGAUUUAUCUCAGAAGUGAAAAGACGUAUGUCUCUUCCAUUUAAUGCUUGAGACACGUGUCUUGCUGUGAUUGGCUUUGUUGCUUGUAAUGUCAUUUUAGGGUUUCUGCGUCUACGUCAGUUUGACGUGACAGUUCCAUGAUAAUGGUUCAUAAUGAUGCCUUUUUAUUAUAAAUACUACAUCAUGCAUCUUCCAAAAACCUCUUCUACUCUCUUUGACUUUCUUCUAAGAUUUAUCUGCAGCUUUUCUCUUCUCUUCAUGCUUAUGCUAUAAGUAACAAUGGCUUCCCGAUCUACAAACCCUUCUUCAUUGUACAAUCCUCGGAGGGCUAUUAUAGUAGAUGGACUUCCUCUUUCUAUAGCUCCGGUCAAGAAUAGAAAUAGAGGUGGAAGGCUUCGUAGCCUUGGCUCCAUAUCGAGCCAAAGUAUCACUUCUUCUCCGAAAAAUUCUUCUAAUCCUUCUUCUUGUUCCAAAAAUAAAUCUUCAUCCACCCUAGAUCUUCUUCUAAAAAUCAAAAUGAAGCAAUACCUGAACCAAUAGUUUCUGAGAUCGUUCCUCAGGAAUUUUCUUUUAAAUUUGAUUGUGAAGCAUGGAAGAAAGAAGUUUCUUCCAUAGUAGCACUUAAAAAUGGUGAUCACUAUCUUUCUUUAAUCAACUACAGAUUUCUUCCUUUAUUACAUCGUGAAUAUUACUAGAAACUUGACUUCCCAGUCAGAACUCCUAGUGUCGACGACCAAAUAAACUUUUAUCGUAAAGGUUAUUCAUUCCUCUACACUUAUCCUUUCAUCUUAGUAUUCAAACCUCCUAUUGACCCGGUGAUCAUUGAGUUAUGUCAUUACCUUAAUGUUUGUCUUGGGCAAAUAGGCCUGAUAACGUGUAGGGCAUUAGCUUGUCUUUGCUACUUAUCGGGUUUAGUUUAUGUACCUUUCACUUUUUGUCAUUUCCUCCAUCUAUAUUUUCCAAUGCUUUUCAACGAGUGUGUUUCCACACUUGUAGCAAGAAGCAAAAGAGUGUUAGUCAGUCCAGAAGAUGACCGUGACCGAGGUUGGUAUGCUUGAUUCAUGGCUGUUCCCGAAAAGUGGAACUUUGCACAUGAGUAUUUCCCUUUGCUUUUUCUUUACGCUAUUUUCUUUUUAAAAUCCUAACUUUCUUACUCAUAUUUUCUUGGUUUUAAGCAAUCAUGAAAGUUUUUGGUGACCUUCCUGACUUUCGUGAUCGGGUAGAAAAAAAUGUCAUAAGUCGCUCCAAUGGAGCAAAGAUCUUGAAAGUUUCUAUCCCAAAAGUUUAGGUGGAAAGUUAAAAUCCACGGUAUGUUACAUUACUUAACCGUGCAUUUUUCACUUUUUCCUUUUUACUUUAACAUCCUUUGUGACUUCCAUGAUUUGCUAUCCGUGGAGUUUGCCCUGCUUCCACUAUCUGUGAAUAGCAUACUUGGACAUGCGCACAAACUCCAUGUAGUACUCCCGCACACUCUUGCUACCUUGCUUUAGGUUCUCAAACUCAACGGUGUGGGUUGCCUUUAUCUCGGCUGGCAAGAAAUGAUCCGUGAAGGCAUCAGCAAACUCACUCCACCUCGUUGGAGGGCUGUUCUCCUCACGGGAGUCCUCCCACAGAUCAAACCAAGAAUAGGCCACCCCUUUCAAGCGGUAGGCAGCAAACUCCACUCCCUCUGUCUCAAUAGCGCGCAUAACUCGGAGUGUCUUGAGGAUGUCAUCAGUAAAGUCCUGGGGGUCCUCUUCGGGAUUAGUACCUUUGAACAUUGGAGGAUCUAACUGAAGAAGCCCGUUCACCCUGGAACCAGUAGAAUCCCCUUAUUGGCUAGAAGAAGUGGGUGCAACAUUUGAUCUCUAGGCCUGGGAAGCCACUAUCUGUGUAACAUAUGUAUGGCUUCCCUAAGAUCCCCAUAAAAGAUACCAAAACUGGAAGCUAGGGCUGGAGGUGGAACCGAAAUAUCAGUUGGAGGGAUCGUUGCACCCUUAGUAAGUGCACGAAUUGGCACAACCUGGUCAGGUGUAGUAGUCGGGGGAAUAUUCUCGCCCCUUCGGGUACUCCCCCACAUCAUCGAGUAAAGAAUCAGCUGCCACUCCUGGGGCAACAUUGGAUAAUUGGCUAGUUUUUGCUUUCUUUCUAGGUGCCAUGUAGUGAAAGUUAGAGCAAUGCAUGAGUUAGAGGAGGGACAAUCUCACAAUCAGCUUUAUUGCACCAUCCAGAAUAACAAAGAAGGGUAUUAUUCCAAAAUGUCCAAGUAGCCUCCAACUUAUAGAUGUGAUCGAUAUCCUAGGACACUUUAAAACCUUAGGCUCUGAUACCAAGUUUGUCACGCCCCAAACUCGGGGAGCGCGACCAAUGCUGAACCGAGUGAACCCGGUCAAGCAAGCCCGUUAUUUACUUUCUACCCAAUCUCACUCAUGAAUAGAGAUAAUACAUUUUUCAUUUAUUAAACAAUAGUGACAUCAUAUAGACAAUACCAAUUCAUUACCAUUAGUUACUCUGUUUAACAAGACUCAAAAUACACGCAUUUUCAUGAUUUGAAGUGGAACAAGUGAUUAAAACACAACAUAACUUGUUAGACUUUGCCAGUAUCCAUAUACAUCCCACAUUAUAUCAACGGAUCCUCUAAUAGAUACAAAGGAGUACUAUGAUAGUGUCAAUAACAAGGGCCCAGCUAUACCUCAAACAUCAUACACAAAGAACAAAAGAUACAUGACCCUGGAAUAAAGUACAUGAAAUCAAUAGAAGCCACAAACAAUACCAAAAAAUCAAGUUAAGAACCACAUAAGUUUUCAAGUGAAUUUCCAUGUUUUUAGGUUGGGAGAUCUUUAGUACCGAUAUACCAUCAUUCAAAAUACCACCGUACUUUUACACAGAGUUCGAUCAUGACCCGAUCGGCUAGACCGUCUUAUUUGAGACAUCAACCACAAUCAUAAUUUCAAUUAAAAUUUCUAGCACAAUCAUCACCAUGCGUGCGGCAUGGCAUCCGAUCACGACCAGAACGUCUAUGCCGUCUCACCCCAGACAUCAUCCUUUUCUAUCAAUCAUCUCAUUUCAUACUCCUUUCACAUCUUUUCAAUUCAUUGGCACUAGUGUCAACAAUUAUAAUAUUAUUCUUGUCACUUGGCCGUAUCUCAUAUUUCAUGCCCCCCCUUUUCACUUUCAAACAUCAUCAUCAUUAUCAACAACUAGGCUUUUCAAUUCAAGAUUUUAAGUACACACGUAAGCAAUUAAGAGUCUUGACAUAUAGAGGGUUUUCACAUAAUUUGGCAUAAUAACCUUCAUUCAAACUUGACUUGAAGUCGUAAUAUUCUUAACACACAGCCCAUACUUUGAAUGCAUUCUCAAAUGAUAUCAUAGCAUGAUAAAAGCAUUUGGAACACACAUUGAACAUAUAUCUUUCAACACAAGUUUACUUGGAAUAGGCAAUUUCAUAAUGACCAACUCGGGUCUUACAUAACUUACAUUAACAUCGUGGGAUUAAAUUCUAGGAAAGGAGUUUAGUGAUCAUACCUCAAUUGAGCUUCUUUGAACUCUAAAAUGUUCUGGAUUUCUUAGCAACUCUAACCUAUUUUAGAAAUGUAACAAAUUGAACCAAAAUUAGGAAGAUGAUCAUGGUUCUAGCUCAUUUGAGCAUUUUAUCAAACAUUAGGUAUGCAUUAAGGUUUCAAGGUCUUUUUAUGGAGGAUUCCAUCAUCCCACAAUCUAUUCUUUAGUAUUUUAGCUCAACAAUCUCCCUAAGUUCCAUGAUCACACAUGCAUGCAAAAUAGACAACUCCCAUACCCAUGAAUUUCCUUACUAAUUGCCCAUUUCUAGUUAAAUUUCAAAAUUAAGAGUUAGGAUGUAGAAUCUUACCUCUAGGAUGAAGACCUAGUGUGUUUUCCUUGUUAACCUUCCAAAAUUUGAGUACGAAUUGGUGGAUGAAGCUUAGGAACUCCCUUUCUCACUCUAUGCCCAUUCUAACAAAGGGUGUUUUAUUAGAAUGGGGCGAUCAAAAAUUAGAAAAAUAGAAGCCCCGAUACAGGUAUGCGAUCGUAUAAUGCUUCUCCGGUCCACGAAAAAGGCAGCGAAAUGACCUUCUGGAACUGGGCAGGUCUUCCCCACUCGGUGGCCAUUAUGUGAUACGUAGACCUAUUCUAUAGCCGCAUAAUGCACAUCGAACCUCCCUCCAAAAAAUUUCCUUGUUGAAUUUGCAAUCAUUGUGCGGCCCAUGACAUCGUUAUGCGGCCGCAUAAUGGACCACACAUUGGUCCUACAAUUUUGCUCAAGUUCUUUCUUCGCUCUACGGCCAUUCUGCGGCCGCAUAGUGGGCCAUAGAAAUGUCUUUUUCUUUCUAUAAUUUCCCUUAACUACUCAGUGCGCUGUUCAACCCAAAAAGUCCAUAUACAUAGGUCUCUACAAUCUUUAACACAUAAGUGUACCUCUCACCAUGAAAUCUCGGAUUUUAGGUAAAUAUUCAGGGCCUUACAAUGUCCAUAUAGGUUUAUGAGGGAUGUGGGGAGAAAAAUGGAUUGGGAUAUUAAUGAUAUCAGUAAUUUUGUGGGCUGGAGCUUGGUUGUGAAGCUUCUGAGGAUCCCAUUUUCUAGAAUCCCAAAAUUGAGAGACAGUGAUGUUGCCUGGCUUUCCUCCCUCUAUUCUGUAGCUAGUUAAGGGACCUAUUCCCCACCAAUUAUCCCACCAAAAACUUGCAUUGCCUGAAUAUAGCCGCCAAUUUAUGUGUGCUUCCACUUCUUGCUUAUUACACAUCAUCUUCUUCCAAGUUUGUGAAUUUCCAGGGUGCCAUUUCUUUGAGAUUGGGUGUGAUUUUUUGCAGUAUUUGGCUAAUAGGAAGGUGCUCCACAAAGAUUUUUUUGUUCUAAAAUUCCAUCACUAUUUGAGUUCCCUAUCCUUACAAACAUCAGCCACAGUUCUAAAACCAACACCCCCUUCCUCUUGAGAAUAUGAUAACUUCUCCCAGAAAGCCUAAUGGUAUUUGUUUUUGUCCUUCUCCAUGCCCUAGAAAAACUUAGCAGCCAGUCUUUCCAGCUGUUUCAUGACAGUUUUGGGUGGUGAAACAACUGAUAGUAGGUGAAUGAGCAGAUAUUGCAUCACAUAUUUGAUCAUGGUAGCUUUUCCUCCAUAUGAAAGCAAUCUGCUAUGCCAUCCUCUGAUUUUGCUAACCAUUUUGGAUGCCAGUUUAUUGAAGUGUAUACUUCUUUUUUUUUCAAUGUCGAUGGGGCAACUAAGGUAUGUGAUUGGUUGUUCUAUCCUGGUAAAACCAGUGAUUCGAGAGAUCCUAGAGACAUUGUAUUGGAAGACACAAUCCCUUGUUUAUCCUAGAGACAUUGUAUUGGAAAACAUAAUCCCUGGGGGUCAUGAAAUAACUCUUAGCCUUGUUUAUCAACUAGCCAAAAGUACUCUCAUAAUCCCUUAAAAUUCUCAUAAUCUUCUGUAGGGAAACUCUGGUGCCUGAUGUGAAGUUGAUAAUAUCAUCUGCAAAGAUCAAAUGAUUGACUUGAGGACCUUUUUUUCAUGUAAAAUCCAUUGAAGAAUUGAUCAUUGUUGAGGUUGUUGAGAAUUCUGGGGAGAAGUUCUGCCCAAUGAUAAAGAGGGAUGGUGCCAAGGGAUCUCCCAUUUUAGACCCCUAGUGGAUUUGAAAAAACCAUGCCUAAUUCCAUUUAUCACAACAUAGUACCGGUUAUUGGACAUGGUUCUCCAGAUCAUGUCUGUCACACCUCCUUUUCACUACACAAGCAAGGGCGUAAAGGAGUUUUUCCAAUUUAAGUGACAAUCGAAACGGGAUUUAUUAUAAAGAUUCAGAGUCGCCACUUGAGAAAUUAAUGGUGUCCCAAGUCACUGGUUGAAUCCCGAACUGAGGAAAAUAUGACUCUGUUAACAGUCCGCGAACCAGAAAUCCGAGUAAGGAAUUCAGUUAACCCAGGAGAAGGUGUUAGGCAUUCCCGGGUUCCGUGGUUCUAGCACGGUCGCUCAACUGUCUUUAGCUUAUUAUCUGAUUUUAUUACAUGAUGAACCUAUGUGCUAAUUUUACUUUUAAUCACUUUUUAUUUAAUUUUUAAAGAAAAUUGAAUGUCGUUUAAAACGUGCCUUUGGAUUGCGCCACAUGAAAUGCACCCGUAAUCCUGAACGCAUUAUAUUCAACGUUUUGGGAUUUGAUUUGGGUCACAUAAAAUGCACACCCGAGUUUAAGAAUGUAAUUUUGUUAAAAUCGCGCCUAAAGUGACUAACGCGUUAUUAUCUUUUGGGAAGACCAUGAAAUUCGCUAAUCGGCCCAUCCCGAAUUCUAAGUAUUUAAUAUAACUAUUUAUUAAGGGCCCCACAAUUUACAUUUUAUUUGACGAGGCUCCUCUCAUUUAUUAUUUAAAGGGCAAACCUAAAAGCAACUAUAAUUUUCUAUUUGUAUUUGUAUUUAAUAAUAAAAGGAAAAGUCUUAAUUAACAUUGAUAAAUGGAUGAUCAGUGGGGGCAACCCAAGAAUUGCCUUAGGGAGUGGGCUUCAAGGCCAACCCAUGCAAAAAGGGGGCUGAAUCAGCCUUGGCGACAUUAGUAGAAGAAUGGACCAUUAGGAGAAUGCUUUCAUCUUUGGGCUUAUGAUUGGCCCAACGAAAAUCUGGGCGGACGUCCAAUUCGAUACCAAGUUCAGUGGGAAUUUUAAUUUUCCACAACUGGAUCUCCAAAAAUAGCACAAAUAAGCACAGACCUAGCAAAUCAAUUUUAUACAAGUUUGGACCAAUAAGCUAGCAGACGAGGUGAUCAACAUGAUGCUUUCAUUCUACUGAAAUUCAGAGUCGUUCAACACACAUCAUUUUAAAACAUAUUUACGAAAGCAUCCAGCAUGAGACUGACUAUAACUAACGUGAAUCACUUAUUAACCUAACACAAAAUUAGUUACAACUAAUAGAGAACUAACUAUAACUAGGACUAUACUUGAAAAACAAAACUCAUUGAAUUAGAAUCAUAACAACAGUCCAUUUAAUACAAAACAAACAGGAAUUUAAACAACAUCCAUAAACUAAAUAUUGAAUACAUGGUUCAGAAAUUGAAAUAACUCAAAUCUCAUGCUUCAAUUAUCAUUUGAAUUCUGCCUUCACAUUUCAGCUCACAAUUAUCUAAAACAAAGUUGUGUACCUGGAAUUGGAACACAAAAUGAAGGGGAAAUAGAAGUCAGCUGAGGCAGUAAGAACAGACAGCAGCAAUAUGAACUCAAACAGCCACAAUUACACCAAUGCUUCAGCCCAGAAAUGAGUUAGGAGUAUAGAAAUGCUUUUAAAAACCAAAGGAUUAACGGAUCCAGCCACAGCAAAUUCAACUAAGCACAAUUGACUUCCCAAAUGAAAACAACAACAGCUCACAGCAAAACAACACCCAAAUUGAUCCCAAAAUGCCUCGACCAAACCCAAAAACUGCUUGAAAUCAACUAGGAAUACCUCUGAAAUUUCAGCAACUAAAAAGAGAACUAGGAGAUGUGAAUUGAUAACUAGAAUAUCAAAAUUAACCUACAAUUUCCAAUGAAACAGUGAUUUUUUUUUGGAUUUUUGAAGUUUUUUUCUAUUGUUUUUGUGUUUUUGAGAUACUAGAUCUAAUUGGAAUUGGAAAUUCAAAUCUGAAAUUCAGAUCUGCAGCCAAGGGUUUUAGGGGAAUUUUUGGG
rnacentral:lncRNA from 1 species